GGCACAUAUAUCUAUAUAUAUAAAGGGGAGUUUUCUCUCACCUCCUGCUGCCACUUCAGCAUGGAAGGAAGGGCAAAUGAGGACACGUGUUAUCACUUUACUUCUUCUUCGAGCAAGUUAAAAGAAAUGUGGACAAAUUUGUUUAGUUAAGAUGCUGAGGCCUAAUUCCAAAAUUUGAUAAUCAAGCCCAAUUGUUCACAUCCAUCUUCUUCGAAAGUCUUCGUCUGUCUGUUCAUAUCCCUAUGUCCAGCCGGCAACAACCUUACCGAAUUAUAACGUUUUUUGUGUCAUUGAAACCUGCUCACGAAGUCUGGCCAUUACCUCUCUCCUUGAAGCGUUCUCCCGAAAUCCCUAAUUUUGACUGCUAUAAAUAGGGAUGCAGGUAGAUCGAACUUUCCCUGCUUCACGCAGCGAUCAAUGGCUUUCAGAACUACAAAAUCCUCCGGCCAAUGAAUUAACCAGGGUUUGCUGCUUCUAAUCGCGUAGACAGUUGGUGCAGAAAUCGAAGUUUUUGUAUACUUUGAAACAAGGAGUUAAAUCAGAUCUGGGGAUGAACCAUUAUCUGCAACUUUAUAAAAAGAUUUUGAAUUGUUUCUGGGUCUAUCUGUAUCAGGAAGUAUAUAGAAUCCGAUGGAGUUGUUGAUUCUCUCACCAGAGGUAUAGUUUCUGUUUUUUUUUUAAUAUAGUCCACCCUUACCUAUUGCAGAUAGUUUUAUUUUUGCUAUCGAAUAGUAGUUAUGGUUUCUUUGAAUGGGACGAAUGCCUUCAUCUUCUUUAGAGUAAGUUACUGGACAUGUACUUGGUUUCUAACUUUUAUAUAUUAGUUUCUAAGAGCCUACCAUAAUCUUUAAUCCAGGUUUCCCCGUUUUUGUGAUCAAGGUGCCAAAAUUUAUGAACUAAAUAAAUCCUAAUAUAAAAUUAGGUUUAAGAGUAAAUCAUGUCCUCUACAAAAUUGAUGGAAAUUUGGGUUUAGAUUUUGAAUCAGCUUUCCUUCUUAAAAUUGGCUCUUAGUUUAUGUUUGUUUUUCAUGAUCACGAAUGCAGAUUUAAAAUGUUGCCUCUGUAAAAUUUUGGACUCAUACUCUAUGAUGCUUUGGUUUUUGCCAAUCCCAGCUCUUGAGUGGUUUUUCUAUGAUCCUUCUUUGGGUUUGCUUCAGACUAAUUCAGCAUAAGCUAGGAGGUGCUUCAGUCUCUGACUACGAGAAGCUUCAAGCUUAGACGUUUGAUCUUCAAAUAAAAUACAAUGAGCUUUUAGCUAAUCAUCAGGAAACCCUCAAAGAGUUUUUUCAUCAUCAAUCAGCAGAGGAUCGCUAGAGGCGAGGAGCUAAGUCCUCUCUCCCGAGUUUUUAUCGCCUUCCACCGCUUCUCCCCGCAUCAUAGACCAUUAUCGUCGGCCGUUCAAUGCCACGGCGGUGAAGAAGGUUAAUAGUUGGGAAGACGGAUAUGGAUGAGUUUGGUAUGGGAAGCCCAACUGAAGCUUUCGUCCUUUCAGGCAACUGCAAAUUCUAGGGACUUGACACGUGUAGCGGGAAGUUUCAUCAGGAGGAUCAGCAGCAGCUGUUGCAGAAAUAUAAUGUAUAGUGUCUCAUGGUAGUGAUACUGGUGGGAGUGUGAGACAGCUAGCUUCGCUUUGUGGUGUUGUGGUCUUAAGCCAACUUACGGUCGUGUCUCUAAGUUUGGACUAAUGGCCUAUGCAUCUUCAUUGGUUGCUUUGGCUCUACGUUUGCUGAUGUUGGGAUGCUUCUUCAUGCUCUCUCCGGGUAUGAGAGGUUUGAAUCCACGAGUAGCAAACAGUUUGAAGGGAGUGAAAGUUGGUCCAUCCGCGAGACGCUUGAAGAUGGUGUUAAUUUUGGAGUGAGAUUUGCCAACUUAGAAGCAUUGGGAUGUGUACUGACAGAGGUCUUCUUUCCGUCAUUCUCUUGUGGACUACCAGCCUAAUAUGUGGUGCAUGAUGAGUAUAUCAAUGUGGACACAGUUUUGGUGUAGAGGCAGAAGUGAGGAUGGUGCAGCUGAAAAGAGUUCUUAGUGAGCAUCUUCGCUAAAUAAUCUGAUGAUCUGAUCUCAUUUUGCUGGCUUUUGACUGAUGUCAUAAUUUUCCCGUUCUUUUCUUCUUCCAACACUCUUAUUAUUAUGCGAACGAUCCCAACCCAAGGAUGUUGCAGCCUCUAUGUCUUCCCUCGAGAACCUUAUUACGGUAAUCAUUACUUUAUGUUAGGAACAAAGUUUCUAAAGAACAUGAACACACGGUGAUUUGGUUACUGUUAUUAUCCAAGCGUAGCUUACUGAGAAUAACAAAUUUCAUGUAAGGCUCCAAAGUCAAAAUAGUCCAUGUCAUCUGAAACAAAAAGAAAGAUGGAAGAUGUUACUUCUAAUGCGUUAGUUCUUUUGUUUUCUAA